AGGUGUCAACAGGACCUGCAAUGAUAGCAUCGCAAAUUAUAGACUAUCCCCCUUUCAUUAAGGACAAAUCCUUCUUUAAAAGCGUAAACCCUUCUUUAUUGACCAAAACAGGGCUCUUGUCUAGUGCAGCAUACAAUAAUCAGUCAAUCUCAAACACAAUGGAGGAAAAAUUAGCACUUUUAAGACAAAAAAAGAAAAAAAAAA
rnacentral:misc_RNA from 1 species